rnacentral:rRNA from 1 species
AUUAGAUGAGCCUAUAUUAGAUUAGCUAGUUGGUGGAGUAAUAGCCUACCAAGGCAAUGAUCUAUAGCUGAUCUGAGAGGAUGAUCAGCCACACUGGAACUGAGAUACGGUCCAGACUCCUACGGGAGGCAGCAGUGGGGAAUAUUGGACAAUGGGCGAAAGCCUGAUCCAGCCAUGCCGCAUGAGUGAAGAAGGCCUUUGGGUUGUAAAGCUCUUUUAGUGAGGAAGAUAAUGACGGUAAUCACAGAAGAAGUCCUGGGUAACUCCGUGCCAGCAGCCGCGGUAAUACGGAGAGGGUUAGCGUUAUUCGGAAUUAUUGGGCGUAAAGGGCGCGUAGACUUAUUAAUAAGUUAAAAGUGAAAUCCCGAGGCUUAACCUUGGAAUUGCUUUUAAAACUAUUAAUCUAGAGAUUGAAAGAGGAUAGAGGAAUUCCUGAUGUAGAGGUAAAAUUCGUAAAUAUUAGGAGGAACACCAGUGGCGAAGGCGUCUAUCUGGUUCAAAUCUGACGCUGAAGCGCGAAGGCGUGGGGAGCAAACAGGAUUAGAUACCCUGGUAGUCCACGCUGUAAACGAUGAAUGUUAAAUAUGGGAAGUUUA